AGUCAGUUCAGACGUGUUAAAAUCUGGAUAGUUUUGGAUUCAUUCAUUGUAUCUGCAUGUCUGUUUAUUUUCUACUAAAACAUAUACUAUGACUGCUUGUUUUUCUACCUGUGCUUUGUACUUUAAACGAAACACUGUUCUCUCAUGCUGAUUUUAAACUCCCCCUUUCUUGUGUUGUUAUUACUCCUACAGUACCAUUCGUAAUGUGAAAAUUCAGUUCCAGAAGAACUGAGUCUGAAAGCUCCGUGUCAGAUUCCUGCUACAGAAGUCAGGCUGGAGGUAAAAAGAAGGUUUCACUUCCUGUGAGAGUUACUUGGUAUUUGUGGUUUAUCGCACACGACAUAAUCACCGCCUGAAGUAGGAAGUGUAGAGCACUUCUGUGUCAGUCCAUCAGAGCUGCUUUCAGACGACUCCGUCUUAUUGUGGAUGCUGAAGCUGAUCAUGGUUCUCCUGUGGAUGAUCCUGUUGGUGCUUCUGCUCUGUGCAGAGGCCGAGAACAUGACCGAGGUCAGAGGAGAGCUGGGGACCAAUGUCACUCUAACCUGCUCCAAUCAGACAUCAGACACAUACUGGUACAUGGAGAUCUACAGUCAGUUCAGAGCAGGUAUCGGCCGCAGUUUUUCUUCAGCAGACUCUACCUACUACUCUCCUGAUUUUGAAACCAAAUUUUCAAUCCUGGGAAACAAACUCGUGAUUAAAAACUUCACAACAGAGGACUGCAGGCUUUACUUCUGUGCCAUCAAGAGAGGAGGCAGCGUUCAGUUUGUGGAGAGUUUCAGCCUCGUCUCAGAUAUCUGUCCAACCCCUGACCCUGAGUGUGGAGUGUUGCACAGGCAGACUUUCCUCGUCAGCUCAGUGAUCCUGAACUUUGUGCUCUUUUUAGUACCCUUACGUAGAUGUAAUCCAUGGGGGCUGAAAGCCGACGCUGUACAGACAGUACAGCACAAACGUACUGCUCACUGCCCCAGCAGGCUUCAGCAGUGCUUCUGUUGUCCAGGUGUUGUCCCAGAUGUUGGAAGAUUUCUCUGCAGAGCGGAGAAAUAUGUUGUAUGUGAUGAGUGCUGAUGUGAGUGUGAAGGUGAAGUGACUCCUCUGACGGUCUGUUGGCAGGUCUGAGUUGUGUAUCACUGUCUCUGAAGAGGAGAAUCAGCAAAUAUCAGGCAAACCUCCCUCCAGCUGGGACCAGUGAGAGGCUGGAGGCUCCACAGUACGAGGAGAUCCAGUUCCCCACUCCCUCUGCUGCUCCGCUUCAAGAGUGUGUUUAUUACAAAAUUCAGCUUCCUCGCUCCACACUACCUCAAAGCUGAUGGACACACCUGUACAGGUGGAUGAUACCUGCUGGACAGAGGUCAGUCUGAUAACUGAAGACUUGUUGCUCUGCCGCUCGAAGGAGGAUUUAUUUUUUCAUUUCUGGUUUGAGUUGUUGGACCAAAAGUUCUGAAUCAAAAUUUUCCACAAACUUGAUGAAAGUGCUGCAAGAUUAAUUUUAGUCAGAGACAAUCUGCUCUGCUUCUGAGUUGAGAUGGACCCAAGAAUGUGACAACCUUUAGCCAAACCUGCUUUAAGGUGCUUCAGGAUUUAACACCAUAACUCAAUGCUGCUGUGAAAACCUGUAAAUAUGAAACUCCAACAUUUAAUAUUUAUUUGUUCUCUUAUAGUUUGUAUCUGUUUAUCAGUUUUUGUUGUUUUGUUUCAGCUGUUUUGUUGUUUAUGCUGUUUUGAAAGCACAGAUUUUAAACACAGUCUCUUUCCCUAAAAGGUCAGCAUGAUGAUUAAGUAUGACAACAGAAAGCUGCAUUUUACAAUUAAAUGUCAAACAGAACUGAAACCAGGACAAAGACAAAAUAUCACAUGUUGACUGUGAGAAAUGUGAUUUUUGAAAGACAUAUUUUUUUUAAUUUGUUGCAGCAUCAAAUUUAAAAAUAAUGUUGUGAGAAGCUGUCAAAAUUACUGAGCCAUCCAUUUUCCUCUGCUUAUCCAUUUUAAGUAUGCAGGAGUCUAUACCAGCUGUCAUAGGGCUAAAGGAGGGGUACACGCUGGACAGAUCACCAGUCUGUCACAAUAACAUGUAACAAAAUUAAAUGUGUUUUUUUAAAAGCAUCCCUGGUAAACACUGAAGUUCUCCAGAAAGACUUUGUUCACAAAUAACUAAUUCAUCCACAUUAAUAAUCUCAGUUUGAACAUUUGGGCUGUUGAUUUAAAAUUGAUUUAAAAGAUUAUAUGGUCUUUGCAAAUUAUUGCAUAACAGGUUUGUUUUAGUAUAAGAAUAUGUAAAAGACCUUUCUACAUACCUGUGGCAUUAUUCUUUUGUUCUGUGAAAAUACACUGCGAUCAUUUUCAGUUUGAUUACAGCAUUUAUUUUUGGUUUAGGCAUUCGUGUUGUUAUUUAACACAAAUAGAACUUGAGUUCACACCAGUGAUUUGUUUGUUUGAAAGAGAAAAUGUGGUUGGAAGUAUUUCUUUGUAAUGUUUAAUAUGAACCUAUUAAACAUUUGAGAACAACAAGGGACAGAAACAAAUCUGGAUGAUAUUAUUUAAAAAAAGAGUUUCACAAUGUUCCUCUUUCCUCAAGGUCAUGUGAGUGUUUGUUGGUCAGAUUUUGCAGGAAACUAUUCAGUGCUUUCCUCACACGUUCUGAAAACAACAGCAAGUGACAACCUGUAAAAACAAUUUCAGUUGUUGCUUCUCAGUAAAAUGCCAGCUUCCUGUUUCCAUGUAUUCUGACUAUGUUGGGCCCCAUCCUGCUCCAACCAGUACAAACAGGUCACGUGUCAUGUCUGGUAGGCAGGAUUUGGACCCAAAUGUAGGACCCAGGAGACAGGAAAUACAUUUAAAAGGCAGCUUUAAUGCUAAAUUCCAAUGAAAAUGUUGCCCAGGGAUUCAAAAACUAUACAGAAAUGAGACACACACAAAUGUAAUGAGGAAAAACACAAAAAAGCUGAAUAAAGCUGAAGGAAUAAAUAAACAAGAUGAUGAGGGCAAACAGGAGAUACCUGGGAGGGUAGUUUUACUAACUGAGAAAAUAAGAGAAGGGGUGUGAAACUAAAUACAAAGACAAGAGACAAAACACCAAACAAAAUAAAGCAGGAAGUAACUGAACUUGUAAACAGAAACACAGGCAGGCAGGAAGCCGACAAAAUCAGGAAAAACAUAAUUGCAAAUUAUAGAGCCAGGAAUGAGAAUAAGAGAAAUAACUCUGAAGUACAAAUGAGCUAAAAUACCAAACUCAAAAUGGCAAAACAAAGAAGAAACUACACAGAAACAUAAAAUGGGGGGGAAAUAAAAAAAAGUGAAGGUACUACAAUAACUGAAUCUGAAUGACCAAAAGUCCCAAAGAGGUUAGCAAAACGAGCAGGGAUGAGAGAAGAUGGGGCAAAAACAGGUCCAGAUGGCAGAUCAAGAAUGAUGAUAUUUGUUAAUCUGAAUUGAGAAAUCAUUGGAUUUAUGUGACUUACACCAGUGAUAAAAAGUCUUUAUCAUGUCCUAAAAUUAAUCCUUUACAACCUGAGAUGAACAAGAACACUCAAACAAAGCCCAAAUUCAGAAACAGCAUGUAGAAAAACUGAGUUUAAUGAUCUCUCACAUUCAAUUCUGGGUCACUCUUCUUUACAAAGUUCCUUUGAUUGGGACUUGGAGGCAUUCGUUUAUACGCGGCUCUCUGAAGGGCCCACCACAGUAUUUCAAUCAGGUUGAGGUCUGACCUUUGAUUGGCCCAUUGCUGAACUUGAUUCUUUUCUUUUUUAGCUGUUCUGUUGGAGAUUUGCUGCACGCCUGAGCUGCGGCUGAGCUUAGAUAGAUAGCAUCGAUAUUUGGCUCUAGAAUACUUGCAUGGGCAUGCAGAGGAGUUCAUGGUCAACUCGAUGACUGUAAGGUCCCCAGGUCUCAUGACUGCAAAGCAAUCCCAAAUCAUCACCCUUCCACCGUGCUAACAGUUGACAUGAGGUUCUUGUGCUGACAUGUGUGUUUGGUUUUCCCCAGGUGUGAUGCUGUGCACUAUCGCUGAACAUAGACGCUUUUGUCUUAUAUGUCCAAAGAGCAUUAAUUUAGAUGUUUUGUAGCUUGUUUUAAUGCAUCUUCACUUUAACCCUUGUUGGCAUGUUCUUUUUAGAGUGGCUUCUUCAUUACUUUCAUAAAUAAGGCCUCAUGUCUAGUGGAGUGUUUAAAGUUACCAGUGCCACAUCAGUUUGUGGGGUUGAAUUUUUGCAGCAUUCAGAGCUCUAGUUCCUGUUUCUGCAGCAAGCUUCAGCCACAAGUUUAUCAUCACUGUAUAUGUACUUUAAACCACGCAGAAUAACGACAAUGAUCAUGCAUUUGUAUCAGUUGGUUUAGAAAGAAAACAAAAAGCAAACGCAAAACACACAUUUAUUUAUCUACAUUACCAAAACAUACCAAAUAUUUUCUCCUAGCAUAAUCCUACAGGAUCACAUUCACAUGUUGUUCAUAGAGUUUACUUUGAGCCUUAUUCACGUUUGUCUUUGAAGAAUAAAGCGCAUUAAGCACAGCCUGCAUUUGUGCUGAGUCUUUUUUUUUUUUAGUUAUGAUGGUAGUUCAGAAAUUUCCCCUUAAGAACUUAUUGAGUUCAGAAUAGAAACCUUUUGAACAAUUAGCCAAUCUCAAAAUGUUUAGGAACUGAGAGGCAAGUCAGUCAAAAGAGGAACAUCAGUAGAUACACAAAGGGACCCGCAAGUAACAUAAAGAACAUAAAGACGAAGAGAAAGUGGUGUAAAAACACCACAUGAUUCUUAUCAUUUCUUUGUGUGGGAGAAUAAUGAGGAAGAGCUCAAGGAACCAGUGAUGUCACACACACACAACACAAUGGCAGAGCAGCAAUAGAAAGCUCAAAAGCUUUUACAAAGAAAGAGAAAAAGCCGGCAACAAAUUUCACCUAGAGAAUAUUUAGUUUGAAACUAUGCUAAUUAUCAGCUCUUAAAUCUGCUUUACUUGGGACAGAAACAUGCUUCAGUGCAAAACAACAAUGUAAUGACAGCCAAUCAAAACAUAUCAAAGUAAAAUUAGGAUUCAAUUGUACAUUUACUGUAAAUUCAGAGCUGUGGGUUACCAGCAGGUGAAUGUGAUGCUAGGUGAGGACAAGACAAGAAAAUCAACUCAUACCUGCAGCUCAG